GUGGAUGUGGUGCAAUUGGCAGCAUAUCGGUCUUCCAAACCGAAGGUGCCGGAUCAUAACCGGUUAUCCACU
rnacentral:tRNA from 1 species